GAGAGCUGCCAUCUGAAAUCAGGACUGUAGAACUCUAAAGCCCAAAGCCUUAACCACUUGACUCUGCUGGUGUGAACCAGCUACCCGGGUUUACGGAGACCUGCUUGACCUCUCCAGGCCUUGCCGCCACCUCUUACAGAACGGAUUGUCCUUAUGCCAGUACCUUACUGACUGAUUACUGUACCUUUGUGGCAGAAUUUUAAAUCAGGCUCAAGUUCCCAAAGCAAAGUGCGCAGGACUGGUUCCUCGUCACUCAGAGGGAGAAUGUGUCCGUACCUCUCUCCCAGUUCGUCCUGGUUGCCUGCGGUCCUUGGCAUUCUUCGGCUCAUCGCUGCAUUAUUCCAAUUUCUGCUUAUUUUGGCACACUGAUAAUUUCCUCUCUGUGAGUUUCUGCGUUCAAAUAUUCCCCUUCCUGUAAGGACACUGAUCACUGGAUUUAGGGCUCACCCUAAUGUCAGGUGGCCUCAUUUGAACUCGAUUACAUCUGCAAAGAUCCUAUUUCCAAAUAAGAUCACAUUCACAGGUACAGAACAUAUAUUUUUAGGAGACACAAUCAAACCCAUCACACUUUGUGUCCUACAA